UACGUAGGGUGCGAGCGUUGUCCGGAUUUAUUGGGCGUAAAGAGCUCGUAGGCGGCUUGUCGCGUCGGAUGUGAAAACCCGGGGCUCAACCCCCGGGCCUGCAUUCGAUACGGGCAGACUAGAGUUCGGUAGGGGAGUCUGGAAUUCCUGGUGUAGCGGUGAAAUGCGCAGAUAUCAGGAGGAACACCGGUGGCGAAGGCGGGACUCUGGGCCGAUACUGACGCUGAGGAGCGAAAGCGUGGGGAGCAAACAGG
rnacentral:rRNA from 1 species